UUUUUUUUUUUUAAAAAAGAAGCUCCCCCAAAUAAAAGGUAAGUUCCUUGGGGGAAAAAAAAGAGCUAUUCCUGUCUGACUCCAUGAUGCCUAGUACCACACAGGUUGUUCAAACCACACAGGUUUCUGGGGAGAAACUCAGAAAGCCCAGCCUCGCCCCACCCAUCAGCAGAAGCAGACAUGCGCUUAGAUUUCUAGUGGGGGGUGAUAAGCCGCCUUACAGCAUUCUCACAAGAAGAACACUGCCUGGGAUUUGGGUCUGUGUCCAUGAACAGAAGGGUCAAACCCAGAAUCACUGCAUGUGAGAGUGGGAAGAAACUUCAGCCAUCACCCAACCCAGGGGUUUUCAGACCAGUUCUACAAAGGUCGAGGGCUGUGUGUGGCUGUCAGGAGGCAGGAGCCCCAAAAUCUGCUAAGAAAAGCAAGUGGCUAUGCUGAGUGAGCUAACUCCAAACUCCUGUUUCUACCAGAACAGCCCUCAUUGAAUCCAUUUAAAUAUCGAGGAUGCAAAAACAGCCUAGUUUUUUUAAAAAAAAUUAGAUCACAGAUCCAACCAAUGCUCUUACUCUAUACUUCUAUGAGGAGAAGGGCUUUCCCAGGAUCCCCAAGGGUGACUGAGAGAGCUAGGUUAGAACUCGGUCCCCUCAUCUCAAGGUCAAGAUAUGCUCCACACUCCCACCCGCUUUUCCAGAUGCCUUUGAAUCUCCCACUUCCCAAAGUUUUUAAGGGCCCAUUAUAGUGACUCUCCAAGGUCCAUGAGCCUCCUACCCCAAAUCAUCAUCAAGUGGGAGUAUACUAAAAAUGUUGGAGUUCCUGUCGUGGCUCAUGCUUAGUAGAUGUAAAGUUUAACCCUUACAACAACCCUCUGAGGUGAGUACAAUGACCCUCUUCCUCCAGCAGUAAACUUGUAUCAGGUCAUAAGCUCAGAAGCCACAGGGACAGCAUUCAAACCCAGGCAAGUCUGCCUCAGCCAGAGCUUUCAUCCCUAACCAUCCUACCACACUGCCUCAUGUUUUCAUGCUGGUUUACAUCUCAUGUUCAGGCUCAUAACAGCGCCCAAGUAUAAAAAGGGAGGAAGCUUAAAAGAGGACAACAAACCUGCUCCGUUAGGAAACUUGCUGAAGGAACAUACUCAGCGAGUGAUCCUUCUGAGAACCCAGGUCUCCUGGACCAACCCUCCUCACCCCCACCCCCACCCCUGCCAUGCUUGUAAUUAAGUCUUACAGCCAAUAACAGAAUGUCUCCCAGAGGUGGCAUGGCUGGUACCAAAGAUCCAUAGUUAUGGGCCAUCAGCAGGGACCAGCAAACAUAUUGGACAUGAAAUCAAAGCCAAUAAGCAGGAUCCAGGGAAGAGGAGGUGACAGGUCCCAGGGAGCAAAUGCUGAUGAAUCCAUUCCCUCUGGUGGAAGGCGUGAGGCUGCAGUGCUUAGCCCAGGGCUGUGCUCUCUAAGUACCCAAUGCAGGAUGGGGUUUCAGUGUGUGUGUGGGGGGGGGGGGGGUUUCAGUGUGUGUGUGUGUGUGUGUGUGUGUGUGUGUGUGUCUUUCUCCUUUUCAAGGACUGUAUGAUCUGCAAGAGUCAGAAGUAUCCUCUCCUUAGAGGAAAUGAAACUGAGGCCCAGAGAGAGGAGGACAACAGAGUAAAUUAGCACAAAGAACCAAACCCAGGGCUUCUUGCUCCUUUAUUCUCUCUUUACUAGACACGUCCCCUGCAGCACCCAGCAGGCCCCAGCAGGGGAUCAUCACUCCCUGGCCUGGGAAAUCCCAGCCAUCUGGCUUCUGCCCCAGCACGUCCCCAGCCUCUGCAGACAAACAGCCGCAUGCAAGGAGGUUGGGUGCCACCAUCUGCACAGAGCCUUAAUGAGAGGCCUGUGGUUUCUUGGUGUCUUGGUCAAGCUGUUUGCCAGUCCUAGCAAGUGAGAACUUUUGGCCUAACCUAACAUAGGCCUUCGGCCCCUGCACAGUCUAAAUAAAUCACCUUGGACUCCUCUCAUCUGCUCUCUAAUGAAUGGCUUCCUUGGUCAGGGAAACACUUUUUAAAAAUACUGGCAGCAGAAAAAGAAUGGAAUAAAUCCUGUAGGGUUUAUGGGUUUGAAAGGAAAACAGUCCUAUCUUGGUCUGCCCCUAUAUAAAACAAGACUUUUUUUUUUCCUUUUUAUGGCCACACCUAUGGUAUAUGGAAAUUCCCAGGCUAGGGACUGAAUCAGAGAUGCAUCUGCCAACCUAUGCCAUGGCCACAGUAUCACCAGAUCCAAUUGCAUCUGCAAUCUAUGCCACAUCUCACGGCAACGCCAGAUCCUUAACCCACUGAGUGAGGCCAGGGAUCGAAUCACCGAACCCGAAACCUCAUGGAUACUAGUAGGGUUCUUAACCUGCUGAGCCAAAACAGAAACUCCUAAAACAAGAUUUUUAGACGCCCAGUCUCCUGGGGUCCCUUUGCUGAGAAAGCUAGGGAUGGAAACUCCACUCCAAGGGUCUUUGUUGAGAAGUCUGUGGGGAAUAAGGAAGGCAUUGGGAAAAGCAGAGAGGGAAGGUGAUUCUUACAUCAGUGAAAGCCCACUAACAAUUAAUGUCCUUUGUCAAUGGAAUGGGUGGGAUCCACAGGACAAGUCAAGCAGAGGCUGAAUCCGUUGGGGACUCUGUAGCAAAUCUUUUGUGGGUAGAAUUAAGUAGAGGCUUUGAAGGCCCUCCCAAAUCUUAGGUUCUAGUCCCAUGAUUCUUGGAGGGCAGCAAUUCAAACAGGAUAGAUUUUAGAAUCAGAACAAUGCAGUUCAGUCCUGGCUCUGCUCUUUAUAGGCUGGAUGACCUUGGGGGAAGUGUUCCUCAUCUGCAAAUUGUGGUUGACCCCUCCUCUACCUCUUUGGGUUAUCCCUGCGGUUGACAACAGAGGGGUGGGGGCAGGUGCACCCUUCACCCUGUGGACCUAUAGGUGCUCAGCAAAUGUUAGGUCCCUCCCUCUAAGGGAACACACAAAAUUCCAAGAUUUCCUAAUCCUAAGAUGGCUAACACUUUUAAAAGUCUGAUUCCAAAAGAAACAGGACAAACAAAACAUUGAUGUGGAAACCUCCUUUCCCGUCUCUCAAGAGCACUAAGGAAUCUUCUCCCCAAACUUUGAGAUAAUGCCCAUGUGUUGAUUUUUAUUCCAAACUUGCAAUUUGGCAACCUUCUCUAAGUCUUUUUUUUUUCCCCUCUUUUUCUUCAAGUCACUUAGGCUGAGCUGUUACUUGAGCCAAAAAAAAAAAAAAAAAAAAAAAAAAAAAAAAA
rnacentral:lncRNA from 9 species